UGGGAAUCUUGCGCAAUGGGCGAAAGCCUGACGCAGCCAUGCCGCGUGAGUGAUGAAGGCCUUAGGGUUGUAAAACUCUUUCACCGGGGACGAUAAUGACGGUACCCGGAGAAGAAGCCCCGGCUAACUUCGUGCCAGCAGCCGCGGUAAUACGAAGGGGGCUAGCGUUGCUCGGAAUUACUGGGCGUAAAGGGCGCGUAGGCGGAUCAGCAAGUUGGGGGUGAAAGCCCGGGGCUCAACCUCGGAAUUGCCUUCAAAACUGCUGAUCUAGAGUACGGGGGAGGUGUGUGGAACUCCGAGUGUAGAGGUGAAAUUCGUAGAUAUUCGGAAGAACACCAGUGGCGAAGGCGACACACUGGCCCGUUACUGACGCUGAGGCGCGAAAGCGUGGGGAGCAAACAGGAUUAGAUACCCUGGUAGUCCACGCUGUAAACGAUGAUUGCUAGUUGUCGGCAGGCAUGCCUGUCGGUGACGCAGCUAACGCAUUAAGCAAUCCGCCUGGGGGAGUACGGUCGCAAGAUUAAAACUCAAAGGAAUUGACGGGGUCAUAGCUGUUU
rnacentral:rRNA from 1 species